GUGAACCCUGAGUUUUAUAAUAAAGCUCCUCAUCGAAGACAGUCCCUGAAAUUUAGGGAAUAAGUGCCUCAUUUAUGGCUUAAUACUCCACAGUCACUGGUUCUCUUUCCUAUGAGCAGUUGUGAGUUCCUUUUUAACCCCCAUCCAUUCCACAAAGAAACUUCUCUUAUGAGUGAUUAAUUCUAGAGAAGUGGAAACAUAUAGAGGAGAUAAGAUAUCUACUUUAAUACUUCAGUUGGUGAUUGUGCCAGAUUUUUGACAGUCAAAGCAUGACUGAAUUUAUCUCUGAAAACUGGUACUUAUUCCACCAUACAUCAGGGAUGUCAUCGGAAAUCCUCAGUGUAUUGCCAGGGAAAAUUUCUGAUUACUUCCAAAGCAUUCCGAGGACAAUACAAAUUCUCCUGGGGGAACAGAGGAAGAAUCAUCAGUUUUGGAGCACUGUGCCCGAGCUUCAUCAAUAAUGAGUAUGGUGUUGUUAAUUGGAGAAUUAACCCAAAUUUCUUA